AUUGAACGCUGGCGGCAGGCCUAACACAUGCAAGUCGGACGCGUGGCGGACGGGUGAGUACUGUCUGGGACACUGCCUGCUGGAGGGGGAUAACUACUGGACACGGUAGCUAAUACCGCAUACCAUCAGAUGUGCCCACAUGGGAUGAGCUAGUGGGUGGGGUAACGGCUCACCAAGGCGACGAUCCCUAGCUGGUCUGAGAGGAUGACCAGCCACACGGGAACCGAGACACGGUCAAGAUCCCGACGGGAGGCAGGAGUGGGGAAUAGUGCAUAACGGGCGCAAGCCCGACACAGCCACCCCGCGCGUACGAAGAAUGCCUGCGGGUUGCAAAGUACUUUCAGUGGGGAGGCGUCAGCUGCAGAAGACGGACAGGCUCACUCCGUGCCAGCAGCCGCGGUAAUAC
rnacentral:rRNA from 1 species